CAAAAUGUAGCUUACAUAAAGCAUCUGGCUUACACCUAGAAGAUUUCAACUUAAUUGAACAUUUUGA
rnacentral:tRNA from 1 species